rnacentral:lncRNA from 1 species
UGUACCUCAGACAUCUACCAGUGAUUUAAAAAUAGACUGGAUGGAACACAUUGAAGAUUCAAGUGAUGGCAAAAAUUAUGACAAUGAUUGGGUGAUUGAUACAGUAAGCAGUAAACAAAUGAAUGCUAUCAAUACAGUGCCUCAACCAUCAACCAGUGACUGGAAGGAUCACACUGAUGACUCAAGUGAUGAUGGAGAUGAUUGUGACAAUGAUUGGAUGCUUGAUACAGUAAGCAGUAA